CCCCAACCAACAACAGCUCGGGUUUCAGAAAGGAAGAAAGUCUGAAGGGGGGUGGUCAAGCAUCCAAACGCAGGCGCCUCGGCUUAAGCAAGAAGGUGGUGUGGGCAGGAGACUGCGUGCGCACAGGGACAGCCCAGCCAUGGGCGAGACAGCAGCGGCCACGGAGGGAGACCCACCACGAUCGACAAAGCCUCAACUAGUACGAUUUGAAAAAUCCCCCGCAGGCACUGGCUUCGGUGCCAAAAUCUCCCUGGAUUUAUUUUCAGGCAAGUGACUCACAGCCUCCUUUCCAUAAGUAAUUCCAUCAAAAUGAGUCGCCGGUUCCACUAGCCCGACUUUCCGCUGCCCUCCGGCUGCCCCUCCCUCCUCUCCGCCCAUCCGGCAAACCAGACAGCUCCCAGACAGAACAGCGGUACCCCAGGGGAGCAGAGAGCAGGCUCCCGGCCCCGCCCCCGCCUCCGGAGCGAUGAAUGGGGCGCGGGCGGGCGCGAGCGCGAGGAGGGAGUGCGGGGUGUGUACGCGUGUGUGCGCGCGUGGGCACGCACCCGGCCAACUUACGGAGGUGGAGUUGGUCCUCGCCUGGCCCUGGUUUCGCACCUCCUGCUCCCGGAACUGCAGCCCCGCCAGAUGCUUCUCCAGCGCCUCCCAGUCCAUAGGGGGAACCGGGGGCUCUUCCGGGACGAACGUCCCGCCGUCCGGGGGCUGAAGACAGGGCCCCCCUGCCACCCGGCCCCUGGCGAUGCGCGGGCCCUCCGCCGGCUGGGGCUUCUGAAUCGCCCGCCGGGGUCCGCGGGGGCCGCUCGGACGGCCGGCCACCACCACAUUGCCAUUGUGCCUGAGGUCCUGGGGUUCCUGGGGGCGGAGGUUGCCGUUGGGCAUUGGGGGCGGUGUGUCAGUGGUGGCGCUCCGACCCCCGCCGCCGUCGCUGCGGGUCCUGGCGCUCAGGUCCCUCGGCUCCCGGACCGGACAGCGGUCAUCCUGGUACCCUCGCUCGUCUUCCUCUUCCUCCUCCUCCCCGUCCUGCUCCGGCGCCCACUCAUCAAUCACCUUCUGGUAGACCGGGAAGGGCGCUUCAUAGUCCUCCAAGGCAGAUACCAGGUCCAGGCUGCCCCCCGGCGACGACGAGGAUUUGCACUCCGAGCAAGGGGUCACUUUGGUGGAGUUGGACUGCGAACUGGAGCGGCUGCUGCUGCUGCUGCCGGCGUCACUGCCUAGAUCCAUCCCAUCCUCUCGGUAGUCCUGGGGGAGGAGGCAGAGAGAGUUAGUCGCCGAGCCGAGCUGCUCGGCCGCCGGCGCCCCGCGCCUCGGACGGAGGAGCCCGUGGAGGCCCGGGGGCAGGAGCCGGCCCGGUCCGAGGUGUCCCCUUCGCCCCGCUCCCGCGCACAGCCAGACUUCCCGCGGUUCACUAACCCUCAGAUUCGCAAAGGGGCGCCCGGCCGCCAGCGCGCACACUUCACGCGAGGAGCGCCGGGGCGCGCGCCGACUUUGUUUUAACCAUUUUGCGCCGGGCGGCCCCAGCACCCCGCCCCGGGGAUCCUCGGAGGGCCGGACGCUUCCCACCGAAUUCUGACUCCCCGGGGGCGGGAGCCGCGAGGGGGCGGGCGGCCGCCGAUUUCGCACCUCGCGGGCGGCGAGACCACCCCCGCCCCGCCCCGCCCCGCCCCUUCCCCGCCCGCCGCGCGGCGCCGCCAGCCCGGGCCGCCGAGGGCGGCUGCACUUUCUAAGGAGCAGCGAGGUGCCGCCGCCGCCGCCUCUCCUCCAGUUAGCGCAGGGUCGGGAUCGGCGCGCUCUGCCCGCGCCGGGCAGCUUGGCCCCGGCUCCCCAAGGUGCGCCGGCCCGGGCGCGGCUCAGUCGCGGAGGCUGCGCGGGUCCCGCCACCGAGCAUGCCCAGAGCAGCCGGCGCGCGGUCGACUCCCGCGUCCUCCGCGGCCGGCUGGAGCCAGAGGCCUGGGGCAGUCGGAGGAGCCCGGGCUCGGGCGUGGCGGGCGCAGGCCUCCGGCCGGUGAAGACAACACCCAGGGAUGCCGUGUGCCCACCCUCCGACACUCGCGCCUCCUGCGCGCGCUCUGGGCCUUCCCGCGCCGCUCGCCACCCGGUCCAAGCCUCCUGGCGCCGCCUAGUCCACGCGGAAGUCCCCGAGUGACCUGGGGAGGCCCUCCCUCCCCACGCACGCAAAUUCACGAGCCCGCGCGGAACACCAGUGACGCGUGCUCGCCGGACGGGCACCAGCGUCCCCUCCACCCUCUUCCCGCUUCCUGUCCCCGCGCCGCCCAGCGCCGGGCCUGACCGCCGCGUUCCCUCCCGAGCCCAGGCUGCGGUGGAACCUGUUGCUGUGGCUCACGUUUCUCUCCCCUCCCGCCGCCGCUGAGAUGGCUCGGCGAGGCGUGCCUGUGGGAAAUGAGGGGUUGCUGCGGAGCCCCAGUGGCCUCCUGGGUGUGGAGGUGGCCCUGAGGUUGCAGAGAUGAGGAUGGACAGCUGGGAACUAGAGAGCUGUUCUUUGGUGCACCUUGUGACCUGGAAAAGUGCCUGCUCUGUGGCAGAACACAGGGAGGCCAGUGCUUGGCUAGCCCACUUUCCAUUCUGUUUCCAGCUUUCCAUCUCCUGCCAAGAACCCACCCACUUGGGAACAGGAAGCCCUGCCAGCUCCUAGGCCCACUACAGUCUGCAGCUCCGUCCAGCAGGAUGGAGAGAUGAUUUGCAAAGUGAUUGAAAGGUCCUGUCUUCCUGUUUACAGGAAUAUUUUCUCAACUUUGGGCUUGGAGCUUCCCGACUUAGAUUUGACCCCUGAAACCUUUGCAGGUUGGACAUCAGAGGUGCGAGUCAAGCGGGAGUCGUCUCAGACCUCUUCUGUUCCCGCGCCUUCCUCAUCCAUCACCAGGAACAGGGUCUCUCUUGAACAUCCACUGAUCCCUGACCAUUCUCCUCAUGUGGCCUGAGUGGCCUUUCUAACAAUGCAAAUCUGCUUUGCCUCUCCCUUGCUCUAUUAAAACCCCACAGAGCUCCUGGUGCCUUUCAGAGAACUAUGAACCACCACCACCUCCAGUUUCCUUUGGCAAAUUUUAACUCAGCCAGAAAGUCUCAACAUAAAUGUCACUUCCUGCUGGGCAGUUCCUCUGGUUCCUAUUACCCCCUAGGUCAGGUGACCUUCCCAGGACCCAGUGCACUCAGCUGUCAAGGUACUGAGUAAUCACUGGUCUGGUCUACUGGACUCCUGGUAAGAAAUACACCUUACAUUAAGACCUAGGCCAUUCAUAUGUAUAAAAAUACACAUAUCUGAAAAAAGUUUCAUAAAAUUCUUAUAUCAUAAAAUCCUAUUCUAAUGUAUUUAGAACAGAAUAUGCUCACACCUCACUGUGGGACUUUCUAACCAUCAGUGGGUCAGGGCUGUUAGAGUAAAAGAUGCUCUGAAUUCCACAAGAGCAGGGCUAUGUUGUUUGUUGCUGGGUUUAGGAAUGACAUUUUUAAUUCUCAAAAAGCCAUGAUCAUCCCCAUUGCGGGUGAGAAGGCCAAGGACAGCAAGGUCAAGUAACUUGCCAAAGUCACAAAGCUGGUAGAGUAACUGGUAGAGCCAGGACUGGAAGCUGGGCAGUCAUGCAGCUUCCACUUUGUGUCCCUGGCCCUGCUGCGUACAGAUGUUUACCAAGAAAAGGUGUCAGGAGGCAGCACCUCAGACUGGGUCUCAGCCUCCUGCCCUGCACCCUUGGGCAGUUCACACCUGUAGAGAGGAAGCACUGAGGGCACCUUCUUCCUCAGCUUGCCUGUGUUCCGCCUCCUCCAGGGCCACCUAGCUCAGCAAGUGUCAGCAAAGAAGAGAGUUGGUCAUGUCCAGAAAGGCUCCAGAACCCCAGAAGAUGAAACCUCACUUUGUGUGAACUAUGUGCAUUAAGUUCCCCCAAAACAAAUCCUAUGAAAAGGAAGUCAUGGCGAGACUGGGUCUUCAGUAGGAAACAGUCCAGAUUCAUGCUCAAAGUGUAGGGACGAGAUCACGUUUCUCAGUGUCAGUGCUGUUUAUAGGAUUUUAAAUGUGUGAGUCAUAGGAGUUUGAAUAGGUAGGAAGAGAUUUAUUUGCAAAAUUCCCAACCUGAUUCUGAAGUCAUCAGCCCUGACUUUGAGCUCCCCUACGCUGUGGCAUUUAGAGUAAUAAAGACAUGGCUGGCAGAGGGCUUGCAUCUCAUCUUUAUUACAUGAACUGCAUGCAGGUCAUGCCACACGCAGAUGCUCGAGUGACUGUAGUGAACUGGAUAUGGGAUGUCUGGAGCCCGUCCUCCCCCGUCCCCUGACUCUGACCCAGCCUAGGACCUCCGCUUCCCAUGAAAGAGGCCUGACUGCGUGACCGUGGUGUUUGGCACACUGUAAGACUCCACUGGAUGUCUCUAAGUGGAUGGAAUUAGGAAAUACGGCAUCAAAACGGCCCUGAAUCUUUUCAUCGCCAUCCUUGUUGAAAAGCGCCUUGGGUCCCUCUGCUCACCCAAACCAUGGUCUAUCUGUUAGGUACGUGCAAUUUCUCCUUCGUUUCUGCAACUACCAUGGCUUCAUCUUCACUUACUCAUCUAUGUGUCUAGCUAUUUGGGAGAUGGAACCUAAGUACACCUAAUUUGAUUUUCUUCUUUAUUUCAUUUGGACAGAGCUAUACUUUCAUGGACAUAAUUCCCUUUAAAACACACAGGGCUGGGGUUGUGGCUCAGUGGUAGAGUGCUUGUGUAGCAUAUGCAAGAAACUGGGUUCGAUUCUCAGCACUGCAUAUAAAAAAAUAAAGGUCCGUUGCCAACUUAAAAAAAAAAAAUAAAAAGAAAACGCAUACAUGCCUUAAAGGUUUUGAUUCUGUCACAAACUAUGAGAUUGUAUUUAUUUCUUAUGUUUUCCUCAAUAAAAGCAAAAUGGCGCUUAA